UAUACGGAGGGUGCAAGCGUUACUCGGAAUCACUGGGCGUAAAGGGCGCGUAGGCGGAUUAUCAAGUCUCUUGUGAAAUCCAACGGCUUAACCGUUGAACUGCUUGGGAAACUGGUAAUCUAGAGUGGGGGAGAGGCAGAUGGAAUUGGUGGUGUAGGGGUAAAAUCCGUAGAUAUCACCAAGAAUACCCAUUGCGAAGGCGAUCUGCUGGAACUUAACUGACGCUAAGGCGCGAAAGCGUGGGGAGCAAACAGGAUUAGAUACCCUGGUAGUCCACGCCCUAAACGAUGUAUGCUAGUUGUUGGGGUGCUAGUCAUCUCAGUAAUGCAGCUAACGCAUUAAGCAUACCGCCUGGGGAGUACGGUCGCAAGAUUAAAACUCAAAGGAAUAGACGGGGACCCGCACAAGCGGUGGAGCAUGUGGUUUAAUUCGAAGAUACGCGAAGAACCUUACCUGGGCUUGAUAUCCUAAGAACCUUAUAGAGAUAUGAGGGUGCUAGCUUGCUAGAACUUAGAGACAGGUGCUGCACGGCUGUCGUCAGCUCGUGUCGUGAGAUGUUGGGUUAAGUCCCGCAACGAGCGCAACCCACGUAUUUAGUUGCUAACACUUCGGGUGAGCACUCUAAAUAGACUGCCUUCGUAAGGAGGAGGAAGGUGUGGACGACGUCAAGUCAUCAUGGCCCUUAUGCCCAGGGCGACACACGUGCUACAAUGGCAUAUACAAUGAGACGCAAUACCGCGAGGUGGAGCAAAUCUAUAAAAUAUGUCCCAGUUCGGAUUGUUCUCUGCAACUCGAGGAG
rnacentral:rRNA from 1 species